CUCUCUCUCUCUCCCCACCUCUCCAUCUCCAUCUCCAUCUCCAUCUCCAUCUCCGCGCUACUCAUCUCACUCUCAUUCUAACUCCUCCAUCGACAAGAGCUCGAAUCUGCAGAGCAUCAAUGUAGAAGCACACUAUAAUAUAAGGAACCAGGGAUUCUAGAGAGCUCGAAUUUGCUGAGCAAGUUGUUGCCCUCAUAAACCCUAACAUUGGUCGACGACCCUAUGUGAUCUCCAAAUUCGCUCUUAAUCUCCAAAUUCGACUCCCUCAAGGUCUUGAUUUUGUCAUUGAUGUGGGUGUUAGAGUGGCUAAUCUGUCCACUGUAGUUGACAUAACAGGGAGUCUCCCAAGAAUCAUUCGGCAAGGAAAGGGGCCUAAACAACCCUGGAUGGUGGCAGAAGAUGAUAAAGAUUCUGUUGUAGAAGAAGAAGAGCUCACCCUUGUGCUGCUUAAAAUCCAAUAAUUCAUCUUUGCUUACCUUGGUACAGAGCUUAAGAAAUGAUCAUUGAAUUUGAAAAGAGGUUACAAAUGGGAAUUUCAUGAGAUACUUAGGAAAAGAUGGCCAUAACUGGAGGAAGAAGAA